rnacentral:rRNA from 1 species
AGAGUUUGAUCCUGGCUCAGGAUGAACGGCGGCGGCGUGCCUAACACAUGCAAGUCGAGCGAGAUGCUUCUGACGGAUUCUCCGGAUGACGGAUGAAGCGGAAAGCGGCGGACGGGUGAGUAACGCGUAGGCAACCUGCCUCUCACAGAGGGAUAGCCACUGGAAACGGUGAUUAAAACCUCAUAACGCCACUAAGAGACAUCUCCUGGUGGCCAAAGAUUUAUCGGUGAGAGAUGGGCCUGCGUCUGAUUAGCUAGUUGGCGGGGUAACGGCCCACCAAGGCGACGAUCAGUAGCCGACCUGAGAGGGUGAUCGGCCACAUUGGAACUGAGACACGGUCCAAACUCCUACGGGAGGCAGCAGUGGGGAAUAUUGCACAAUGGGCGAAAGCCUGAUGCAGCAACGCCGCGUGAAGGAUGAAGGCCUUCGGGUCGUAAACUUCUGUCCUUGGGGAAGAAGAACUGACGGUACCCUUGGAGGAAGCCCCGGCUAACUACGUGCCAGCAGCCGCGGU